GAAUGCCUACGGGACGCAGCAGUGAGGAAUAUUGGUCAAUGGACGGAAGUCUGAACCAGCCAUGCCGCGUGCAGGAAGACGGCUCUAUGAGUUGUAAACUGCUUUUGUACAAGGGUAAACCUGAAUACGUGUAUUCAGCUGAAAGUACUGUACGAAUAAGGAUCGGCUAACUCCGUGCCAGCAGCCGCGGUAAUACGGAGGAUCAAAGCGUUAUCCGGAUUUAUUGGGUUUAAAGGGUGCGUAGGCGGAUUGAUAAGUUAGAGGCGAAAUGUCCGAGCUCAACUCGGGAACU
rnacentral:rRNA from 1 species